GAGUUUGAUCCUGGCUCAGGAUGAACGCUGGCGGCGUGCUUAACACAUGCAAGUCGAACGGAACAUCGGUUUUCGGAYUGGUGUUUAGUGGCGGACGGGUGAGUAACGCGUGGGUAACCUGCCUCGAACUGGGGGAUAACGGUUGGAAACGACCGCUAAUACCGCAUAAGCCCACGGUGCCGCAUGGCACUGCGGGAAAAGAUUUAUCGGUUUGAGAUGGACCCGCGUCUGAUUAGCCAGUUGGUGGGGUAACGGCCUACCAAAGCUACGAUCAGUAGCCGACCUGAGAGGGUGAUCGGCCACAUUGGGACUGAGACACGGCCCAAACUCCUACGGGAGGCAGCAGUGGGGAAUAUUGCGCAAUGGGGGAAACCCUGACGCAGCAACGCCGCGUGAGUGACGAAGUAUUUCGGUAUGUAAAGCUCUAUCAGCGGGGACGAAAAUGACGGUACCCGCAGAAGAAGUCCCGGCUAACUACGUGCCAGCAGCCGCGGUAAUACGUAGGGGACAAGCGUUAUCCGGAUUUACUGGGUGUAAAGGGAGCGUAGGCGGCAAAGCAAGUCAGAAGUGAAAUCCCGCGGCUCAACUGCGGGCGUGCUUUUGAAACUGUUUAGCUAGAGUACUGGAGGGGCAAGCGGAAUUCCUGGUGUAGCGGUGAAAUGCGUAGAUAUCAGGAAGAACACCGGAGGCGAAGGCGGCUUGCUGGACAGAUACUGACGCUGAGGCUCGAAGGCGUGGGGAGCAAACAGGAUUAGAUACCCUGGUAGUCCACGCGGUAAACGAUGAAUGCUAGAUAUUGGCUUCCAUAGGGAGUCGGUGUCGCAGUUAACGCAAUAAGCAUUCCACCUGGGGAGUACGUUCGCAAGAAUAAAACUCAAAGGAAUUGACGGGGACCCGCACAAGCGGUGGAGCAUGUGGUUUAAUUCGACGCAACGCGAAAACCUUACCAGAUCUUGACAUCCCCCUGACCGGCGAGUAAAGUCGCCUUCCCUUCGGGGCAGGGGAGACAGGUGGUGCAUGGUUGUCGUCAGCUCGUGUCGUGAGAUGUUGGGUUAAGUCCCGCAACGAGCGCAACCCUUGUUCUCAGUAGCCAGCAGUUCGGCUGGGCACUCUGGGGAGACUGCCGGAGACAAUCCGGAGGAAGGUGGGGAUGACGUCAAAUCAUCAUGCCCCUUACGAUCUGGGCUACACACGUGCUACAAUGGCGCUCAACAAAGAGAAGCGAACCCGCGAGGGAGAGCAAACCUCAAAAACAGCGUCUCAGUUCGGACUGCAGGCUGCAACCCGCCUGCACGAAGCCGGAAUCGCUAGUAAUCGCGAAUCAGCAUGUCGCGGUGAAUACGUUCCCGGGUCUUGUACACACCGCCCGUCACACCAUGGGAGUCGGUAACGCCCGAAGUCAGUGACCUAACCAUUCGGAAGGAGCUGCCGAAGGCGGGACCGGUAACUGGGGUGAAGUCGUAACAAGGUAGCCGUUCGAGAACGAGCGGCUGGAUCACCUCCCUU
rnacentral:rRNA from 1 species